GAUUGAACGCUGGCGGCAGGCCUAACACAUGCAAGUCGAGCGGUAGCACAGAGAGCUUGCUCUCGGGUGACGAGCGGCGGACGGGUGAGUAAUGUCUGGGAAACUGCCUGAUGGAGGGGGAUAACUACUGGAAACGGUAGCUAAUACCGCAUAAUGUCGCAAGACCAAAGUGGGGGACCUUCGGGCCUCAUGCCAUCAGAUGUGCCCAGAUGGGAUUAGCUAGUAGGUGGGGUAACGGCUCACCUAGGCGACGAUCCCUAGCUGGUCUGAGAGGAUGACCAGCCACACUGGAACUGAGACACGGUCCAGACUCCUACGGGAGGCAGCAGUGGGGAAUAUUGCACAAUGGGCGCAAGCCUGAUGCAGCCAUGCCGCGUGUGUGAAGAAGGCCUUCGGGUUGUAAAGCACUUUCAGCGGGGAGGAAGGCGGUAAGGUUAAUAACCUCAUCGAUUGACGUUACCCGCAGAAGAAGCACCGGCUAACUCCGUGCCAGCAGCCGCGGUAAUACGGAGGGUGCAAGCGUUAAUCGGAAUUACUGGGCGUAAAGCGCACGCAGGCGGUCUGUCAAGUCGGAUGUGAAAUCCCCGGGCUCAACCUGGGAACUGCAUUCGAAACUGGCAGGCUAGAGUCUUGUAGAGGGGGGUAGAAUUCCAGGUGUAGCGGUGAAAUGCGUAGAGAUCUGGAGGAAUACCGGUGGCGAAGGCGGCCCCCUGGACAAAGACUGACGCUCAGGUGCGAAAGCGUGGGGAGCAAACAGGAUUAGAUACCCUGGUAGUCCACGCCGUAAACGAUGUCGAUUUGGAGGUUGUGCCCUUGAGGCGUGGCUUCCGGAGCUAACGCGUUAAAUCGACCGCCUGGGGAGUACGGCCGCAAGGUUAAAACUCAAAUGAAUUGACGGGGGCCCGCACAAGCGGUGGAGCAUGUGGUUUAAUUCGAUGCAACGCGAAGAACCUUACCUGGUCUUGACAUCCACAGAACUUUCCAGAGAUGGAUUGGUGCCUUCGGGAACUGUGAGACAGGUGCUGCAUGGCUGUCGUCAGCUCGUGUUGUGAAAUGUUGGGUUAAGUCCCGCAACGAGCGCAACCCUUAUCCUUUGUUGCCAGCGGUCCGGCCGGGAACUCAAAGGAGACUGCCAGUGAUAAACUGGAGGAAGGUGGGGAUGACGUCAAGUCAUCAUGGCCCUUACGACCAGGGCUACACACGUGCUACAAUGGCAUAUACAAAGAGAAGCGACCUCGCGAGAGCAAGCGGACCUCAUAAAGUAUGUCGUAGUCCGGAUUGGAGUCUGCAACUCGACUCCAUGAAGUCGGAAUCGCUAGUAAUCGUAGAUCAGAAUGCUACGGUGAAUACGUUCCCGGGCCUUGUACACACCGCCCGUCACACCAUGGGAGUGGGUUGCAAAAGAAGUAGGUAGCUUAACCUUCGGGAGGGCGCUUACCACUUUGUGAUUCAUGACUGGGGUGAAGUCGUAACAAGGUAACCGUAGGGGAACCUGCGGCUGGAUCACCUCCUU
rnacentral:rRNA from 1 species